GGGUCAAUGAUGACAAACCAAUGUCAUGAAGAGAGAUGAUGACAUAAAAUUCAAAUACAAGACGGUUGAGCUGAGGCCC